AUCAAUCAAAAAAACUUUGAAGAUUACCAAAAAUUAACAUAAUUUUGUAAAAAAGUGCUCGCUCCACAUUAACAGUGAAGGCAACAGAAUUAAUCAGAAAAACGCCUUUGUUCCAACGUUUUUUAAAUGCAUUGUCGUCGUUUUGUAAAAAAAAGAUUAACUUUUUUAAUUUCGUUUUAAAUAUGUAUGUACACACAUACAUCUAACACUAUUCAAUAUUGUACUUUCACUUAGAUUUUUUUUCUGAACCAUCAAAUAUUAAUGCUGAAAUGCCUAUGCUGUGGAUUAACAUGCCGUUUUCUAUAACACCUGAGAAAGACCACGUUCACCAGGAUUACAAAUGCCGCUUUAAACUCAAGACGGCUGUUCAUCAUCCAGCAGUUAAGAACGGUUAUGUAAGCGGUGAAGAGCUGUUCAAACUGUUCUCUUGCGAUUUAAAAAGGGUCAUCGACAGAAUGCACAACUUUAAAUGUAAGAGCGGAAAGAAGUAUACCGCCAGCAUUAAUAUGGGGGAAAAAAACAAUUAAGAUUUUCGUCAUGAAACAUGGUACAAAUGGCUGGGAGGAACUCCCCCUAAUAAUUUAUCAGUUUGCACUCUCGUUUAACUUUUUUAACGAUUCUGUUCAGUACUAUUAUCCUGACUUCGUAUGCUUUAAUUCCUUUUAUCAAAUCAAAAAAUCGACGGCUGAAGAAAAAGAAAGAAAAAUUAAAAAUCUUUUCAUAAAAGUAAACAAAUUGAUGGUCCAAUCUGUAAAAAAAUUCAGUACGAUUUCUUCCAUUUUUCGCAUUGGAUUCAUUGAACCAGCUCCUUAUUUAGUAAACGUGUUCAACAUCGGGAAUGGUUUUCUUAGGAGUUUACAAGUUAGUAUUCCUUCAAUCCCAAAUCCUGGAGCACUUCAACAUCUUUACCAGAAGCUAUAUCAUUUUAAGCAUACGGACUCUGUUAAAUUGGAAGAGCUAAGGGCUCUCCUUGGUAUGGAUUAAAUAUCCCAAUGGAUUUAAGCAAAUAACAAUGAAAAAUUAAGCUAUGUAUUUUUUUGAAGAGCCAACGUUUCAUGGCAUCACACAUUUAUGUUUUGUAAAUCAUGUAAUAAACAAAUUAAACAUUUCA